rnacentral:rRNA from 1 species
UACGAAGGGGGCUAGCGUUGUUCGGAAUUACUGGGCGUAAAGCGCGCGUAGGCGGUGAUCUUUGUCAGAGGUGAAAUCCCGAGGCUCAACUUCGGAAUUGCCUUGAAACGGGAUCGCUUGAGUCCGAGAGAGGAUGGCGGAAUUCCUAGUGUAGAGGUGAAAUUCGUAGAUAUUAGGAAGAACACCGGUGGCGAAGGCGGCCAUCUGGCUCGGUACUGACGCUCAGG